rnacentral:rRNA from 1 species
GACGAACGCUGGCGGCGUGCUUAACACAUGCAAGUCGAACGAAGAGCGAUGGAAGCUUGCUUCUAUCAAUCUUAGUGGCGAACGGGUGAGUAACGCGUAAUCAACCUGCCCUUCAGAGGGGGACAACAGUUGGAAACGACUGCUAAUACCGCAUACGAUCUAAUCUCGGCAUCGAGGAUGGAUGAAAGGGGGCCUCUACAUGUAAGCUAUCACUGAAGGAGGGGAUUGCGUCUGAUUAGCUAGUUGGAGGGGUAACGGCCCACCAAGGCGAUGAUCAGUAGCCGGUCUGAGAGGAUGAACGGCCACAUUGGGACUGAGACACGGCCCAGACUCCUACGGGAGGCAGCAGUGGGGAAUCUUCCGCAAUGGACGAAAGUCUGACGGAGCAACGCCGCGUGAGUGAUGACGGCCUUCGGGUUGUAAAGCUCUGUUAAUCGGGACGAAAGGCCUUCUUGCGAAUAGUGAGAAGGAUUGACGGUACCGGAAUAGAAAGCCACGGCUAACUACGUG